GACGAACGCUGGCGGCGUGCCUAAUACAUGCAAGUUGAGCGAUGAAGAUUGGUGCUUGCACCAAUUUGAAGAGCAGCGAACGGGUGAGUAACGCGUGGGGAAUCUGCCUUUGAGCGGGGGACAACAUUUGGAAACGAAUGCUAAUACCGCAUAACAACUUUAAACAUAAGUUUUAAGUUUGAAAGAUGCAAUUGCAUCACUCAAAGAUGAUCCCGCGUUGUAUUAGCUAGUUGGUGAGGUAAAGGCUCACCAAGGCGAUGAUACAUAGCCGACCUGAGAGGGUGAUCGGCCACAUUGGGACUGAGACACGGCCCAAACUCCUACGGGAGGCAGCAGUAGGGAAUCUUCGGCAAUGGACGAAAGUCUGACCGAGAAACGCCGCGUGAGUGAAGAAGGGUUUCGGAUCGUAAAACUCUGUUGGUAGAGAAGAACGUUGGUGAGAGUGGAAAGCUCAUCAAGUGACGGUAACUACCCAGAAAGGGACGGCUAACUACGUG
rnacentral:rRNA from 1 species